UUUCCCUCAGAGCCGAUGACAAUCCAGGAUUACAUUGUUGCUUCAUUGCCCCGACAUGCUUCACAUUUUCGGUCCUCCAGCUUGUGUGGGAUGAGCUGGAUGCAUGGCACAGCCGCCUGAUGCUGCUGGACAGCGAGGUGCAGGAGCAUCCGGAUCAAGCCCACCUACUGAUGGACCAACUCAACCGACCGCUGCAGCUGUAUCAAAACGCAGCGCACAUGACCGAGCAAUGCACUGCCUUCCUCAGCAAGGUCCCCGCCUGCCUUCAAGAGUUUGAAGAUAUUAUGCAUGGCGCCGCCCGCUGGUUAGACGAGGCCCAGUCCUGGCUCAGUGACCCGUGCUCCUUCCCCACAGCCAGAGGCCUCCAGAAUCAUGCAAACUCCCUGCAGGCGGCUCUGAUGGGUGGUACCACCAUGGUCAUGGCGCUGGUCCUGCCUGAGCAGCACUGCUCCCUCCUGGACGCCUACGGGAACUGCCGAGCUCUGGCCGACGCCAAUGCUGUCUUACAUGAAGUAGGUCAGCACACAUGCUCAGUGGGCACGUUAGACAUAUUCUACGAGUCAACAUGCCUCAUUCAGCCUUUGGCGUUAAUGUAUGUGCUGGGUCAUAUGCUACAUUUAUCAUCUAUAAGCAAAUCUAGUUGUUAAUAACCUCCCCGUUUGUAUCACUCACCGUAACCUAAUCUAAUCUUCAACUGAUCAAUUAUUUGUCUAUUGAAGGUCAGAAAACGUUCGCAAAAUUCCCUGAUGCAAUGUCGACUAAAACCAAUGCAUAUAUUUAGUCGUGAUGAUUCAUUCACGUGUUACUGAACAUUAUGAACUGCCAGUUUUUAACAGACCUCACACUUAUAAAUAUACGUUUCACUGUUCACCCCCCAUGAGUGAGUGAAUGUGUUUGUUUGUGGGGCUUCUGAUUUUCACUAAUGUGAAUCCAAUAUUAUCUCUUUCUGGCUGCAACUUACAAAAACAAAAAACCUCUUCCUUUGACCCCUGACCUUUGUCCUGUGUUUAGGUGCGUAGCGAGAUGGAGACCCUGGUGAGGGAGCACGGAGUGAACUCUUUCCAGAUGUUCAUGGCCUACAAAGAUACGAUGAUGCUCAGGGACUCGGAGCUCUACCAGACGCUGCAGACCUGUAAAGACAUCGGGGCCGUCGCUCGAGUCCACGCUGAGAACGGAGAGCUGGUGGCAGAGGGUGCUAAAGAGGCUCUGGAUUUAGGCAUCAGUGGACCGGAGGGUAUCGAAAUAAGUCGACCAGAAGAGCUGGAGUCUGAGGCUACUCACAGAGCCGUCACCAUCCCCAACAAGGUAAACACGCAAAACCAGACAUUUGAAUGUGCAUGUGUCCAAGCGUCUGCUUAGUGGGCUCCUUUGACUGGACGGAGAGAGCAGGUGAGCAGGUGUACGCCGCAUUUGCACAAGAAUGGCUGCAGGUGUAUUUAUUCACUGCUGAGCAACAACGGCCAGCAAAAUAACGCAACGAUUCAACUGGAUGUUUUUACUUAUGCUUAUUAUUUUCUGUGUUCACAUAGUAAAUCAGCCGUUGGGGAAAAGAUGAACG